rnacentral:rRNA from 1 species
GUGGGGAAUAUUGGGCAAUGGGCGCAAGCCUGACCCAGCAACGCCGCGUGAAGGAAGAAGGCUUUCGGGUUGUAAACUUCUUUUCUCAGGGACGAAGCAAGUGACGGUACCUGAGGAAUAAGCCACGGCUAACUACGUGCCAGCAGCCGCGGUAAUACGUAGGUGGCAAGCGUUAUCCGGAUUUACUGGGUGUAAAGGGCGUGUAGGCGGGAUCGCAAGUCAGAUGUGAAAACUGGAGGCUCAACCUCCAGCCUGCAUUUGAAACUGUGGUUCUUGAGUACUGGAGAGGCAGACGGAAUUCCUAGUGUAGCGGUGAAAUGCGUAGAUAUUAGGAGGAACACCAGUGGCGAAGGCGGUCUGCUGGACAGCAACUGACGCUGAGGCGCGAAAGCGUGGGGAGCAAACAGGAUUAGAAACCCUUGUAGUCC